AGUGGCGGACGGGUGAGUAACGCGUGAGCAACCUACCCUGCAACGGGGGACAACAGCUGGAAACGGCUGCUAAUACCGCAUAAGACCACGGAGUCGCAUGGCUCUGAGGUAAAAGGAUUUAUUCGAUGCAGGAUGGGCUCGCGUCCCAUUAGAUAGUUGGUGAGGUAACGGCUCACCAAGUCAGCGAUGGGUAGCCGACCUGAGAGGGUGAUCGGCCACACUGGAACUGAGACACGGUCCAG
rnacentral:rRNA from 1 species